UGAGUAAUGCCUAGGAAUCUGCCUGGUAGUGGGGGACAACGUUUCGAAAGGAACGCUAAUACCGCAUACGUCCUACGGGAGAAAGCAGGGGACCUUCGGGCCUUGCGCUAUCAGAUGAGCCUAGGUCGGAUUAGCUAGUUGGUGAGGUAAUGGCUCACCAAGGCGACGAUCCGUAACUGGUCUGAGAGGAUGAUCAGUCACACUGGAACUGAGACACGGUCCAGACUCCUACGGGAGGCAGCAGCA
rnacentral:rRNA from 1 species